rnacentral:lncRNA from 1 species
UUUACAGAGAUAUUACAAGGGUUCUAGAAAUCUUACAUACAUCAUCAUCAGAUUAUCUAUAUGCGUAAAUCAUCUAUUGCUUUACACAUUUACGUAUAUAUAUAUAUUUACAGAGAUAUUACAAAGGUUCCAGAAAAUUUUAAGUAGCAAAAUUAUAGUUUUUACACUUGUCAACAAAAGAGUGACUUAAUAAGAUACUAUUAAAGUUCUUUAGAAUUAACUACAGCUAUACUUAAUUAAUUUACUAAAUAUUCUGGAACCUUUAUCGAGAAAACUCUCAAUUCUAACAGAAAUGCCUGCAUAUAUAUAGUUGUAAGAGAUACCGUUUAAAAGGUUUUUUUGGAAGAUAAAUGUAGCCACCAUCAGAUGUUGCUUUCUUCUCAAUCUCCAUAUAAGAAUUAUGCAGCAUCAAAUGAACAAUGACACAGAGGCCAUAUGUGUCCACCUAAGAGUGAAUAAUGAGGAAAUC